GCGUUACGCUAUGCGUUAUCGCUAUUUUCAACAUUGGUAAGAACCUUCUAAGAUACUGCCAUCAUAAAUAACUCAGUAAUUAUAAUUUAGCACGUAAAAUUUGCACCUUUACUUCUUCAUAUAACUUCUUCUCCCAUGCAUACAAUCUGUCUAAUGUGUCCUGAUAGCUUCCAGAUAUCAUACAACAUUCUUCUGAGUAAUUUCUGCUGAUGAGGGGCCACUAAACAGAGAAGCAGGGUUAAAUAUCCUAGCUCCUGCACCGAGUAAAGAUUUGAGACAACUAUGUAAAAGCACAAAAAUUAAUUCCAUAUCGUCUACAAUUUGAUUACAAAUCCCUUAAGAUAAAUACAUAUUAUGCACGCGCAUAAAAUUUAUUACAUUUUAUUUUGCAACUAUGUCGAGUGAAGUAAGUAUAUGGUUCUUGGUUUUUAGCAUCUUGCUGAAAUUCAGGCACGACACUAAUUGUCAUCUACUUGGUAUUUCUAUGACAAAUUUAGGAUUAAUCACCAAUCAAUAUACCAAAAUGGAAACUAAACUUUGCAAAUAUCGGUUUACGUAAUGUUAUAUAUCUCCAAUCUCUGGAGGGGAGAAAAAGUAACACACAAGCACAGAGAUGAUACCUGUAAGUUCAGUUGGAGCAGAGUACUGAGCACUGUUUGCUUCGAGCAUGACUUAGACCUCUUUCGCAGAAUCAAAGGUUCUUACAAACUGGUUCUCGAUUCAAAAAUUCGUUUUGUUUUUGAUUCGUUUAUAUAUAGCUCUGUAAGUUAAAUGACAAAUCAUUUCGGUCCUUUAUUAUUUUUCAUGCUAUAGAAUUUAAAAAUUUUGUCGACAUGCUCCACUCACUACAUUACUGUAUGGGAUUGAACCCAUUUUCUUUAUGCAUUUAUCUUGACCAACUCAUGGUUUCAAAUGACUGUACAUUACUUAAUUGACCAUAUUAUGCUAAUUUUAACCAAGCAAUGGUAAACUGUUGGGCCGUGAUUGUGAUAUAGAUUCAUCUUCCAGCGGCUAGAGACCAACUCUCAACCUGCGAAUGUGGAGGCUAUUUUAUCUACAACAAAUAAUCAAAAAUUAACAGUGCAUCAUAGUCAAAUUAAUCUGAACGAUUGGCUCCGGCAUCUCUCGAUGACCAAGGUUUCCAAGACAUGAAACAUCUUUGCUGUAUUAUUGAUGUGAAAAUUGCACCUUAAUUCGGUACAGAGUUCAGAAAAUUGGGAGCCCUAAUCCUUCAUUCCUUUCAUCCUUCUCUCCGUCGGUUACGAAAUCCUUCGUUCCUUUCAUCCUCCUCUCUGUCGGUUACGACUUCGCUCUAGCAAUGCCCUCCCACUUUCUUAAAUCAUUAAUUGCCAACGAUGAGUAUUAUUGCCCUCAUCAUCUCCGCACCUCCUCUGCCAUCAUCUCCUCAGUUCUUAGAUUUUGGGCAUUUGUUCGGAUCUAGAAGGAAAAUCAUCGAAGAAGGCUCGGUGACUAUAGAGGCAUGAUGAUGAGAGUGAUAUCGAGAGUAGAGGAAAUGAUGGUGCAGUGCUCUGUGGAACCAGUAGUAGAGGAACUCGACUGGACCCAUAUGAAGCAAAGCCAUCAUUACUGCUCCAUCAGACCUCCAAAAAGGUAUGUUUCGAGCGCUUGGAAUGAACGAUCGUCCAAUAUAUUAUAACAAACCAUUGAGCAUGAUCUGGUCAUCCCUGUCUUUGUUAUUUUCAUAAAAAAUCAAGAAAUAUUUAUUAGAUCCAACAGAACCUAAGGACAUUACUUAAUUAUCUAUUUAUUGGUUCCUUUAUAGUGCAUAAUUCAAUUUUAUGCCUUGACAUAUUUUCCAUAAGUAGUACUUUUUGUUUGUAGCUGAUAUUGGAUGAGUAAGGAAAACAUUAAAAUCUUGAUGAUAACCUGUCUUCAACUUCAUGAUCAUCUAUGAAAAUUUAUAACUAAAAUCUUAGUAAUGAAUGCUAUAUGUAAUGUCAACCCACUUUUAGCUGCAUUAAAAGCAACCACAACUUGUUUGAGCAACUAGAUUCAACUUAUAAGUCUGGCAAUUUAACUGUCAGGUUGAAUGAGUUUGUUUGGAUCUACAACAUUGCACACUUUGAAGCUUUCUGCAAAAUAUCAGGCACAAAUAGCACUGAAUAAUGUGGAUGCUGCGAUACAAAGUUUCAAAAAAAAAAAAACACUAGAAUUAGAGCCAAAUGAUGGUGAUAUAUCUUCGUAAAUUUUAUUUUUUUUUAAUUUCUUGAGCAUGUUUCUACCAUACUGAUGUGUCGCGAUCUCUCUUAAAAAUAUAUGUUUGUUUGAAGGAAAAAUAAAGGAGGAACUUCUUGUUGUGAACAAGAAGGUAAGUGGAAUUAUGAGGCCAUUUGACUGCAUCUUCAAUUACUCGAGGAUUUUAUAUAAUAUCUCUAGCGAUUGAAAGAAGCUAAAAUCAAAACAUGGAAAAGUUCAACUUGGCAACAUCACUGUGGAUAUGGUGCUCAUCUUAACAAAUUAUGGAUAUGUCAAUUUUAUGUUUCCCAUGUGGCUAUGUGGGCAACACACCUAUUACUAGCACAUAGCCGAUAGUGUGCGGAUAACGUUAAUUGAUCUCAAAUCUUUGAAUUUUGAUAGGUUAUAGGUGGAAUGAGAGGAAUGACUGGAUUAUUGUGAGAAACAUUAUUACUUGAUCCUGAUGACGUGAGUUUGGUUUUAAUAUAUGCUAUGUAUUGAAGACAAGUGCAUUUUUUUAUAAAAUAUUGCAAAAAAAUGAAAAUUUGAUACAA